GGGCGGGCGCAGCGGCGGUGGCGGCAGCGGCGCCCCUCUGGGGGACUUGGCCGUGAGAAAGUGAAAGGAGCCCGCGGGCGGCGGCGACAGCUGCGUUGGGAGGGGCCUGUUUCCAGGCUGGGAGGCCUCGCGCGCUCUGGGGGUGCGGAGCAAGCUUUUCGUUAAACUGUGUUGAUCAGGGCCACGAAGACAUGUAGCAACCUCAACCUCAAGAAACUGGAAAUCUUGUUGAGGAGGCAAGAAUCACAAGUAAAAAGUUGAAUAAGAAGUGAAAAAAAUGGUUUGAGAAUAUAAAAUAGAAAACUGCAGAGUGAGGAAGUUAGUGCACUAGUAAAUGUCAAGUGAAAUGUGUUUAUUCUUUGUUAACUGAACUGGGACUGGCAAGCCUGUUGCGACCCAACUUGCCAGAAGACUCUUCAACUGGGCAAAAUGUGCUUUCACUUUGUUCCAGGUCAGAUGGAUAAAGUAAGUUGAAAAAGUGUCGUGUGGGCAAAUCAGACAUAUUGAAUUACUAAUGAAGUCAAAACAGGAGCACGCAAAAUUCCUGGAGCUGAAAUACUGUUGGAAUAUCCUGUUAGAAACAGUAGUGAGGUUCUCUGCUCUUUCCUCAAUGUUUUUGUGUGCCCUUAUGAUUGAUAACCGAGGUCAAGGCCAUCCUGAGGCAACUAGAGUUUUGUGUUCCGUGAAAUCUGUUGUUGGAUCUGGGUGGCUGGUGAAUUCUAGAUCUUUAGUCUGUCAGUAGAAAGAGCAGAGAACCUCACUACUGACCUGUUUCGACUUAGGGGAAUUUUACAAACGUUCUCGAUGAAGGAAGAUAGUGUAUAUACUAUAUAUAUAGCAUAUAUGAUUGUAUGUCUAUAAUUAUGUAUAUAAUGUGUAUAUAAUAAUGUAAGAGUGUAUAUUAUAAAAACAGGUGAAAAGAAGCAGGCGCUUUGCCAACAAGUGCAGGAAAAGCUUGGGAAAAUAAACACUUGCAUUCUCAAAGUUGUUUCUCACCUACUAAAAGUUUAAAAUAAGGAAAGUAACAGAUUUCUGGACAAAAAGAGUCAGUGAUAGUGACAGCAUAUUACAUAAUAAGUUCAUGAGAAAUUUGGAACAUUCAGGUUCUACACAAAACGUUUAGAAACUCAGUUCUAUGGCACGUAGGACAGUCACAGCUCAAACAAAAGUUUUUACAAAAAGCACCCACAGGUAGAAUAACAGCCCCAGAGAUGUCCUAGGAGAGACACUGAUGCAUCAAAAGUUAAGAGCCUUGUUUUUUAGAUACAACAGUCAUCACUGGGAUCCAUUUUGAGAGGUGAGUAGAGUAGCCGGGAAAUAUAAAUUAAAUAGAUAUUUAAGGAAGCAAGUUUGUAGUCCCUCAAUUAUGUAAAGGAUUUUUAAAAUUUAUGACAAUGCAUGGACUAUUCCCACAUUGUCAGAAUCAAUCAAAAUGUUUCUGGAGUAGUUAUUGUGUUUAAAAAGGCUAAUGGAAGACAACAAAAAAGUAUGAGAUAGCCUCUCUGCUUGGGGUUUAAAUUUAGUUGGGAAAGAAAUGACAUAAAUAUAUAAAAAUCUGAAGCAAAGGAGAAACUACAUAACAAUGUAAUAGGAUAUGAAUGUCAGAGCUAAAUUUAAUAUUAAAUUUUUAUAACCAUCUUGCCCCUGAUCCCUGGUUGCAGUUCCAUUUCCUCUGCCCUUUUUGUUUUUUUAACAUGAAAAAAUUUUUUACUCUGCCUUUUUUUUUAAGUGUCAUAACCUUACUGUACAAAUGAUACUUUUAAGUUAUCUUUGGAAAGUUGUCAGCAUGCAAAUUGUAAAUAAAUAAGACGGAUUUCAGAGGUAUAAUACAGAAGGCUUAUUUUUAUUGAGCAUCCAUUUGGAAUCAUGGAAGGUAAGUCAGACUCCUUAUAAGGGGUAGGAUCUUCAAAGUAGGGUCUGUUUACCUCUGCCCAACAGACUUAGCAAGAUACAGGGCUACUUGGCAGAGUUUGAGAACCAAUAAUCUUUCUUUUUUUCCUCUCCCACAGUGGGGAAAAGGUGCAAAAAGUACAGACUCUAAACUAUUAGAAAAAUAUACCAUUGUUUCCCUCUGGAGGAAUGCCAGUCCUGUACAGUUCCACUUAAUCCAUACUUUUCUGGGAAUCCUGAAAUUUAAAAUGAUACAAGUCAAUCCAACCAUUCAUGGUUGGAUUUCUUGCUAGAGAACAAGAUUUGCGUUUUAGUAACACAUGUUUUUUGGCCAAUAACAGUUUAACGCUAUAAAACUUAAUUUGAUGAGCAACUCCAUAAAAUAAAUGUCUGACUUUUAAAUGUGAACCACAGGCCAAAUCCCCGACAAAAAAAUCGUGUCGGCGUUUUUAUUACACUUUGUGCAAUAGGUCAUCUUGAAAAAGUUAUCUAUGAAAUUAAUUUUUGAGUUUUGACUUUUUAGAAACUUCAGGUAUAAUUGGAAUUUUUCUUAAAAAAUUAGGGAGGCAAGCAUUAAUAGGCAAAGACCAGAUAUUGCAAGGUGUACUGUUUUAAAUAUAACAACUAUAAAAUGUGGAGUUCCCUGGUGGAUCAGUAGGUUAAGGAAUUGUCACAGCUGUGGCAAGGGUUCAAUGCCUGGCCAGGGAACUUGGGCAUGCUUUGGGUGCCGCCCAAAAAAAACGUAACAAAAUGUGAGUAGAAACUAACUUGGUUUUGAGUGUAGAAAAAAAAAAAAUACAUGAAAAAUUCUACAUGUGUAGAAGCUUCUAUUCAGCUCAUUCAUUCACUUUCAGUGUCAUAGCUUAAAUUCUAUUAAUUUAUUUAAAUUUUCCCUCUCUCUUUCUCUGUCAUUCUCUUUUGGCUUUUAGAAAUGACACAUUAAAAUGGCCUGAAAGGAGGAGGAGACAGAGAAACACAGCUGAAACAAUAGUAAAAAGUAAAUGAACAAACUGAGACACACACCACCAUGAUGAAAUGAACAGGGAGCAUAUUUCCUAAAGCAUAGUUUAAAAAAAAAAAUUAUAUAAUCCCACAUAGCACAUUACAUGCCAAAUCAUUUCCUGGGUUAUAAAUUCUGUAAUACUUGGAUCUGUUAAAUUUCUGAACUAUGAUAAGCUGUAAAUAGAGGAUAAUUCAUCCUGAUUCUCAGGCCUGAAGACAGAAAUAAUGUUAUCAUAAGCACUUGAGGAAAGAUCUGUAGCAGAUUUACGCAGGGCAGUGGGGAGAGACCCCCUUUACUGAAAGCAGAUAGAGUCUACACCAGUAAUUUAAACCUGUUUGAGGUCUAUGAAAGGGCAGAGACAAGCAAAAGAUACAGUCUUCCCAGAACUGUCUUUCCUGUAGAGCCAGUUUUCAGUUGCUUACUGUAAAUCAGUACUUUUACGUGUCUGCCAUAAAUCCAGAGACAGCAUAAUGGCUGAAGGCGGCUGAUAGUUCAGGCUUGGUUGAGAGACCAACACUGGCCACUUUGGAGAAUUGAGAAAGAAAACAAAGAGCCACCCAAAUCACACCUCUUUCUCGCUCUCUUCCUCCCCCCCCAGCCUACCAAUAAUUUGCCUUAUGCCUUAUAGCAUAUGGAAGGGGAAAAUGCAUACAGCAAUGCUCUUUACAGUUAACUUUGUGCUGUAAUACAUUCAUUAUUCUACUGGUAUAUGAGCCUGGGCGACUUUCGAAUUCCAGGUUGGCUCUCUUCCUUGCUCCACAGAAUGCCUUCCUGCUGGCCAUUGAUGUGAGGUCAAUUGGUUAAAAAGUAUUUAGAUACCAUCCUAAACAAAAUAAAUGUGUAUAGACAAGUCACCCCCUUUAAAAAUCACACAGUUCCAAAAAAACCAACACACAAUAAAAAAACCCAAUUAUUCUAUGGUUAAGAUUCCAGCAUGGUCACUGCAGCAACUUGGGUUACUGCUAUGGCACAAGUUUGAUCCCUAGCCCAGGAGCUUCCAUAUGCCACAGGAGUGGCCACACACACACACACACAUCACGCAAUUCCUCCAAAAUCCAAAUGUUGGCAUUGUUCUAUUGUUUUGGAAGUUAUGUUAGCUAAAAGAUGUGUUCAUUUUAUUUGCGGGUUUUUUAGAGUUAAUUUUUGAAAAUAAUCUGAGGAGAGCUACAACUUUUCCAGAUGAAUGGAUUCUGGAAUAAUAGGUUCAAAGAUUUACAUGAACCUAUGACAUUCAUGCCCCAUUUUUCGAUAACAGAAAUCUUUGAGCAUUAGUUAUUCUAAAAUUUCUGUAAAUUGUAUUCAGAGUGAGGAAGUUUGUUUUUGUUCAAAAUGAAAGAAUAAAACUAAGUAUUUCAAUGUUAA
rnacentral:lncRNA from 1 species